AAAUUAUUUGGAGGGAGUAUACUCUCGGGGUUGAUAAAAAGAUUUGUCAAUUACUACUUAUUAUAUUAUACGUAAUAAAUCGAAAAAAAAUUCCAAUUCUCCUAAAAAAGCCCAAACCAAGACUAAGAAUUUUUGAAAAUGAAAAAGGAUUAAUCAUAGUUUUUUUGUGAUUGCUAGACAACCAUAUUUUUGAAAAGGGUAGUUCAACAAUUGAAUCCGAUUUUGCGUGUCAAUGUACUGAAUAGAAAUUCAAUCGUGCUCCUUGUCCCGGCUUGGGGACAGGGGGUUUAAUCCAUAGAAAUUAUGUGCAAGGUAAGUGUACUUAGCACCAUAUGAAGGCCUUAUGGAAAAAAACUCUUUGUUUUCCUUCAAUUUAUGAGAAACACGACGACUUUGGUUUUCAUACCCUAAAGUUUUCUUUGCGAAGAAGAAAAGAAAAGAAAUAAAAAAUAAAAAUAACAAUUAAAGAUAAAAAAAUUCAUCCUCUGCUUUCUCGUUCAAGCUCUACAGUACACAACUUUGCAUCCAUUCAACUCCCAAUUCUCACAGUUCGUUAGAGAGAGAACAAUUGGAGCUCGAUUACGGCUUUAAUCUAACUAAAUAACCGGAAAAUUUCCUUGAUUACUUGGCUUUUUCGACGUUGGUUUCCAUUUAAUUACAGGGCUGAGGUGCUUCUCUCAAGUUUGUGUUCUAACUAUAAAAACAAUUAUAUUUGUGGGUUUGUCUGUAAGGCGAUUUGGAAUCUAGN
rnacentral:lncRNA from 1 species